AUUGAACGCUGGCGGCAGGCCUAACACAUGCAAGUCGAGCGAGCGGCGGACGGGUGAGUAAUGUAUGGGGACUCCCCGAUAGAGGGGGAUAACUACUGGCAACGGUGGCUAAUACCGCAUACUAUUGGAUAACCCAGAUGGGAGUAGCUAGUAGGUGGGGUAAAGGUUCACCUAGGCGACGAUCUCUAGCUGGUCGGAGAGGAUGAUCAGCCACACUGGUAAUGAGACACGGCCCAGACGCCAAGGGAGGCAGCAGUGGGGAAUAUUGCACAAUGGGCGCAAGCCUGAUGCAGCCAUGCCGCGUGUAUGAAGAAGGCCUUAGGGUUGUAAAGUACUAUCAGCGGGGAGGCGUUACCCGCAGAAGAAGCACCGGCUAACUCCGUGCCAGCAGCCGCGGUAAUAC
rnacentral:rRNA from 1 species